UUAAGCGACUAAGCGUACACGGUGGAUGCCCUGGCAGUCAGAGGCGAUGAAGGACGUGCUAAUCUGCGAUAAGCGUCGGUAAGGUGAUAUGAACCGUUAUAACCGGCGAUUUCCGAAUGGGGAAACCCAGUGUGAUUCGUCACACUAUCAUUAACUGAAUCCAUAGGUUAAUGAGGCGAACCGGGGGAACUGAAACAUCUAAGUACCCCGAGGAAAAGAAAUCAACCGAGAUUCCCCCAGUAGCGGCGAGCGAACGGGGAGCAGCCCAGAGCCUGAAUCAGUGUGUGUGUUAGUGGAAGCGUCUGGAAAGGCGCGCGAUACAGGGUGACAGCCCCGUACACAAAAAUGCACAUGCUGUGAGCUCGAUGAGUAGGGCGGGACACGUGGUAUCCUGUCUGAAUAUGGGGGGACCAUCCUCCAAGGCUAAAUACUCCUGACUGACCGAUAGUGAACCAGUACCGUGAGGGAAAGGCGAAAAGAACCCCGGCGAGGGGAGUGAAAAAGAACCUGAAACCGUGUACGUACAAGCAGUGGGAGCACGCUUCGGCGUGUGACUGCGUACCUUUUGUAUAAUGGGUCAGCGACUUAUAUUCUGUAGCAAGGUUAACCGAAUAGGGGAGCCGAAGGGAAACCGAGUCUUAACUGGGCGUUAAGUUGCAGGGUAUAGACCCGAAACCCGGUGAUCUAGCCAUGGGCAGGUUGAAGGUUGGGUAACACUAACUGGAGGACCGAACCGACUAAUGUUGAAAAAUUAGCGGAUGACUUGUGGCUGGGGGUGAAAGGCCAAUCAAACCGGGAGAUAGCUGGUUCUCCCCGAAAGCUAUUUAGGUAGCGCCUCGUGAAUUCAUCUCCGGGGGUAGAGCACUGUUUCGGCAAGGGGGUCAUCCCGACUUACCAACCCGAUGCAAACUGCGAAUACCGGAGAAUGUUAUCACGGGAGACACACGGCGGGUGCUAACGUCCGUCGUGAAGAGGGAAACAACCCAGACCGCCAGCUAAGGUCCCAAAGUCAUGGUUAAGUGGGAAACGAUGUGGGAAGGCCCAGACAGCCAGGAUGUUGGCUUAGAAGCAGCCAUCAUUUAAAGAAAGCGUAAUAGCUCACUGGUCGAGUCGGCCUGCGCGGAAGAUGUAACGGGGCUAAACCAUGCACCGAAGCUGCGGCAGCGACGCUGAUGCGUUGUUGGGUAGGGGAGCGUUCUGUAAGCCUGUGAAGGUGUGCUGUGAGGCAUGCUGGAGGUAUCAGAAGUGCGAAUGCUGACAUAAGUAACGAUAAAGCGGGUGAAAAGCCCGCUCGCCGGAAGACCAAGGGUUCCUGUCCAACGUUAAUCGGGGCAGGGUGAGUCGACCCCUAAGGCGAGGCCGAAAGGCGUAGUCGAUGGGAAACAGGUUAAUAUUCCUGUACUUGGUGUUACUGCGAAGGGGGGACGGAGAAGGCUAUGUUGGCCGGGCGACGGUUGUCCCGGUUUAAGCGUGUAGGCUGGUUUUCCAGGCAAAUCCGGAAAAUCAAGGCUGAGGCGUGAUGACGAGGCACUACGGUGCUGAAGCAACAAAUGCCCUGCUUCCAGGAAAAGCCUCUAAGCAUCAGGUAACAUCAAAUCGUACCCCAAACCGACACAGGUGGUCAGGUAGAGAAUACCAAGGCGCUUGAGAGAACUCGGGUGAAGGAACUAGGCAAAAUGGUGCCGUAACUUCGGGAGAAGGCACGCUGAUAUGUAGGUGAAGCGACUUGCUCGUGGAGCUGAAAUCAGUCGAAGAUACCAGCUGGCUGCAACUGUUUAUUAAAAACACAGCACUGUGCAAACACGAAAGUGGACGUAUACGGUGUGACGCCUGCCCGGUGCCGGAAGGUUAAUUGAUGGGGUUAGCGCAAGCGAAGCUCUUGAUCGAAGCCCCGGUAAACGGCGGCCGUAACUAUAACGGUCCUAAGGUAGCGAAAUUCCUUGUCGGGUAAGUUCCGACCUGCACGAAUGGCGUAAUGAUGGCCAGGCUGUCUCCACCCGAGACUCAGUGAAAUUGAACUCGCUGUGAAGAUGCAGUGUACCCGCGGCAAGACGGAAAGACCCCGUGAACCUUUACUAUAGCUUGACACUGAACAUUGAGCCUUGAUGUGUAGGAUAGGUGGGAGGCUUUGAAGUGUGGACGCCAGUCUGCAUGGAGCCGACCUUGAAAUACCACCCUUUAAUGUUUGAUGUUCUAACGUUGACCCGUAAUCCGGGUUGCGGACAGUGUCUGGUGGGUAGUUUGACUGGGGCGGUCUCCUCCUAAAGAGUAACGGAGGAGCACGAAGGUUGGCUAAUCCUGGUCGGACAUCAGGAGGUUAGUGCAAUGGCAUAAGCCAGCUUGACUGCGAGCGUGACGGCGCGAGCAGGUGCGAAAGCAGGUCAUAGUGAUCCGGUGGUUCUGAAUGGAAGGGCCAUCGCUCAACGGAUAAAAGGUACUCCGGGGAUAACAGGCUGAUACCGCCCAAGAGUUCAUAUCGACGGCGGUGUUUGGCACCUCGAUGUCGGCUCAUCACAUCCUGGGGCUGAAGUAGGUCCCAAGGGUAUGGCUGUUCGCCAUUUAAAGUGGUACGCGAGCUGGGUUUAGAACGUCGUGAGACAGUUCGGUCCCUAUCUGCCGUGGGCGCUGGAGAACUGAGGGGGGCUGCUCCUAGUACGAGAGGACCGGAGUGGACGCAUCACUGGUGUUCGGGUUGUCAUGCCAAUGGCACUGCCCGGUAGCUAAAUGCGGAAGAGAUAAGUGCUGAAAGCAUCUAAGCACGAAACUUGCCCCGAGAUGAGUUCUCCCUGACUCCUUGAGAGUCCUGAAGGAACGUUGAAGACGACGACGUUGAUAGGCCGGGUGUGUAAGCGCAGCGAUGCGUUGAGCUAACCGGUACUAAUGAACCGUGAGGCUUAACCU
rnacentral:rRNA from 1 species